rnacentral:piRNA from 1 species
UAAGCACACAGAUGGCUUGCAUAUGAAACC